ensembl:miRNA gga-mir-6616 gga-mir-6616
GUUCUGCUGGCGGGGAAGGAGCUCUGUGAUGGCUAGCUGAGAUGGGGGAUUCAGCCAUCUUCUGGUGGCUCGUGCUUGUCAGACAUUGCAGGGCUGGUUCAGAGCUUCAA